AUCUUAAAUUCAUCUUGACAUGGAGAUCAUGGUAGUCGAGAGAAAUUGCAGUUAUUAGAAAUGACAAUCAAGGGAUACUGCUAUGUUUAAGCCGAGAUUUUUGUUUUAGGAAAACCUACUUUGUUGUGUUGUCAUUUGAUGAUGAUUUUUGUCUGUGAUUUCAUCACCAUUAUAUGGAUUGUUACAAUAAUUUAAGCUUUAAGAAUUUAACGUGUGGUCUGUUUUCUAAAUUUUGAUUGUUGGUUGUGAUUUUGUUGAUACCCCGUGCU
rnacentral:lncRNA from 1 species